UGCCAGCCGCCGCGGUAAUACGGAGGGUGCAAGCGUUAAUCGGAAUUACUGGGCGUAAAGCGCGCGUAGGCGGCUUUGUAAGUCGGAUGUGAAAGCCCAGGGCUCAACCGAGGAAUUGCGUUUGAUACUACUUUGCUAGAGUCUCGGAGAGGUUGGCGGAAUUCCAGGUGUAGGAGUGAAAUCCGUAGAUAUCUGGAGGAACACCAGUGGCGAAGGCGGCCAACUGGACGAGUACUGACACUGAGGUACGAAAGCGUGGGUAGCAAACAGGAUUAGAUA
rnacentral:rRNA from 1 species